rnacentral:piRNA from 1 species
UGCUGCUCAGCUCAGGUUUGUUUAGAUC